GACGAACGCUGGCGGCGUGCCUAAUACAUGCAAGUAGAACGCACAGUUUAUACCGUAGCUUGCUACACCAUAGACUGUGAGUUGCGAACGGGUGAGUAACGCGUAGGUAACCUGCCUGGUAGCGGGGGAUAACUAUUGGAAACGAUAGCUAAUACCGCAUAAUAUUGAUUAUUGCAUGAUAAUUGAUUGAAAGAUGCUAUUGCAUCACUACCAGAUGGACCUGCGUUGUAUUAGCUAGUAGGUGAGGUAACGGCUCACCUAGGCGACGAUACAUAGCCGACCUGAGAGGGUGAUCGGCCACACUGGGACUGAGACACGGCCCAGACUCCUACGGGAGGCAGCAGUAGGGAAUCUUCGGCAAUGGACGAAAGUCUGACCGAGCAACGCCGCGUGAGUGAGGAAGGUUUUCGGAUCGUAAAGCUCUGUUGUAAGAGAAGAACGGGUGUGAGAGUGGAAAGUUCACACUGUGACGGUAUCUUACCAGAAAGGGACGGCUAACUACGUG
rnacentral:rRNA from 1 species